GCCACUGACUGUCUGGUGAAGCGCCUUCAACCGAUGCUGUAUAAAUACAAAGUGAAUGCCUACCUAGCGGCCACGAUCACAACAUACAGCACUUGGAGUAUUCGCAACGAAACUGGACCGUAAACUACUUCAUCAGUGGAUCGGCAAACUUCGUGGAAGACAACACAACGCACAGGGACAGCGUGCCUCCGGGUUCGUCAAAGUUCUACUGGGCCGACCAGCUGAGUCUCGGUGGAUUCGGAUAUGCCGAGGUCACGCCACAGAACCUUGCGCUGACAUUUGUGCGAUCGAGUGGCCACGUGCUCUACCAGAAGAGCCUUAAGCCUCGCUCUCUGUGAUCGGCUGCUUCAAAUAGAGUAUUUGAUCUUAUUUGUUUUUACUCGUUUAGAUCGUAUUUGUUUGACACACAUUUUAAUUGAUCGCGUGUGAUUCGAUGCAGGGUCAUGCAUUCUUGUUAUGAUAGGAGAAAUCAAAGUGGCUUCACUUAGAAAUCUUAUUAUUAUUAUUAUUAAAUCUUUAUUGCAUGUAAUUCAAAUACAAAUAGAUGUACUUGGCAGAAAUACAUAAAUCUUAGGUGGACUAGACAUUGAACAUCAUACCUGAGGCUUCUGUUUGAGUAGGGAUUUGUGAGAAAGAUUUUGUCAGUGUGAUUGAAGAGCCAAACUUUCUUUCUUUGUUUGGGGCUAUAUCAAAGAAAGAUAGGACCCAUUGUUUGUGUAUUACCAAUGUAGGGUCAGACUCAUAUUGUACAAACUCAUGUAUAUUCAUAUUUCAUAGAGAUCAUCUUGAAGGGAAGCAUGUCAUGUGACAGAUUUUUAAAUUUUUGUAUGUAAAAGCAAUUUAGAAUGGUUCAGUGAUCUGAGGAGAGACCCUUUUAGUGUCAUGACUUUACUGAAUUAUUUAUGAACUUUCUACUCACAGUAGGUGAACGGUGAUCUUUUGACCUGUAAUUUAUAGAUAACUGUGAGUCUCGAUUGCUGUAGCAAAUGAGUGGGAAAACGUUGAGGUAGAGAAGGCUUAUCUGUGAUCUGUGUAAAAUUUCUGACUAUAAAAAUGUUAUUUCAAUAUCACAAUC